UUUCCGUAGGUGAACCUGCGGAAGGAUCAUUCAUAAUAAAGUGUUUUAUGGCACUUUUUAAAAAGCCAUAUUCACCUUGUGUGCAAUGUUAGAUCUCGUCAAUCUUGUCGGUAUUUUUAUACAUCAACUCAUUUUUUAACUAAUUUGUCUGGCAUAUGUUAUGAAUACUUAAAUCAAAAUACAACUUUCAACAACGGAUCUCUUGGCUCUC
rnacentral:misc_RNA from 1 species